GUACUGUACAAUACAGUCCCCUCUACUAACUGCCCUUGUUACCCGACCACCGCUAACCUUCUCCUUUAUGAACUGGCGCAGUGGGGGAGGGGCUAACCCAUGUUACAUCUUAGAAACAAGGCAGGUGUUAUCAAGAGUUUUUAUUGUUUUCACAGGGACUGUUUUCAGACUUGUAGUGUUUGAGAGUAGCUUGUGAAACACGAUGUUAUAUAAGCAAAGAUCAUGCAUAGAGAGUUUGGCUGCCUCUGUUGUUAAAUAUGGUCUGUGUUGAAAAUUGGCCAGAUUUAAUGGUGGUGUAGAUAUUUUUUUAAAUGUAGGAUGGAGGUCUUUAAAAUCAGACACCACUGUGGUCUUUUCUCUGUUAACAAGAACAUCGGGUUGGAGGGAUUCAGAAGCCCUCAGCAAAAAAUAUAAAGUUUUGUGUACAUUCAAGUGUAAGCGUGAAUUAUUUAACUAAUUAGAAACCUAAUUUUAAUAGUUUGUUUUUCCGCAUGCACACAUUGAACGGUGUCGUCAGCAUACAGUUGUAUGUUGACAAAUGGACAGGGUGUUAAUAUACAAGCUAAACAGAACUGGCCCAGCGUUGCCCCCUGGGGAACGGCGAUAUUACAGUUUUGUAGACUGAGUAUUGUAGGCCGAUACGUACACGUUGCUUCCUGUUUGAGCUCCUUGUGGUUCACUGUGUCACUUCCAAAAACUGCUUCACCACCUUCAUCUAAUGUGAUGUCAUGUACUUGUCAUCAGGCGGCGUACCCCGGUGUGGAGCAGCCGCCCCCCCACCACCCCCCUACUACCAUCACAGCCACCCCCCACCCCCACCUCACCAGGCCUACCAUCACCACCACCACCCCCCCUGCAGCCACAUGAGGCUCCGCCCCCUCGCUUCAGAGACAAGCAGCGAGCGCCGCAACACCGCGCCUUCACCUCCAGCCCGCACGACUACGACAUGCGUGUGGACGACUUCCUGCGGCGGACGCAGGCGGUGGUGAGCAGCCGGCGUGAGCGUGAGCGGCAGCGUGAACGUGACCGUGGCGGCCCCCGCCGCGAGAGAGAGAGAGAGAGAGUGAGGGACAGAGACAGGGAGAGAGAGAGGGACAAAGAGAGGGGGCGCUACCGCAGGUGAUCGUGUCAUAUCCUGUCCAGGCUUUUAUUUUGGCUGUUUCCUGUUUUUUGUUGAAAAUUAUGAAUAAAAAAUGAAACGAGCUACGUGAUGACAUCAUCAUCAGCUGCAUCAUCAGUUAUGUGAAUAAAAUAUUUAAAAAACUGUAAAAAUACAAAAUCUGGUGAGGUUUGAUCAAAACAUGAAAGGGAAGUGACAUCACUGCACAGGCUUCAUUUACAGUGUAAUGUCUCCUGAACCUUCACACUUCAUUUCCCAGAAUCCUCUCUGUGGAGCUUCAGUUUGAGUCAGGACAGGAAGCUGUGUUUCAGUAUUUUAGUGCAGAGCGCUCGCACAGCAACACUUUUAGUUUUUUCUCUAAUCAGUGCUUUUAUUGUGAAAGUUUCUCCUGUAAAUCCUUCAAAUUAAAUGUCUAAAAACUUCCUGACUUCAACAUUUUGUAGUUUUUUUUUUGUAGUUUUCUGUUGAGUGGAACCUCUGCUUCAGUAACUUAUUUCAUUAUAUAUCGUCACACGAACAUUCAAGUUGUUUGUACUCGUGAUCGCCGCCUACUGGUGACGACACGUAAGUUUUGUUUCAGAUCUUUUUCUUUUUUUUUUUUUUUGCAUCUUUCUGAUUGGUUGUUACCAUGGUGACCAAACGUCUAGGAGAUCAGUUUCAUUGUGUAUUGAUCAGCAGCAGGUUAAACUGAUCUGUGUUCAGUCUCAGUGUUAAAACAACAAAACUUUAUUCGUUUCCUGUUUCUGAACAGAGGGGGUGGAGCUUCUCUGUUUUUGUACAAAUAAAAAAUAAAAUCUGAAAUCAGA